rnacentral:rRNA from 1 species
CCUACGGGUGGCAGCAGUGAGGAAUAUUGGUCAAUGGACGAGAGUCUGAACCAGCCAAGUCGCGUGAAGGAUGACUGCCCUAUGGGUUGUAAACUUCUUUUAUAAAGGAAUAAAACGAGGCACGUGUGCCUUUUUGCAUGUACUUUAUGAAUAAGGAUCGGCUAACUCCGUUCCAGCAGCCGCGGUAAUACGGAGGAUCCGAGCGUUAUCCGGAUUUAUUGGGUUUAAAGGGAGCGUAGAUGGGUUGUUAAGUCAGUUGUGAAAGUUUGCGGCUCAACCGUAAAAUUGCAAUUGAUACUGGCAGUCUUGAGUACAGUUGAGGUAAGCGGAAUUCGUGGUGUAGCGGUGAAAUGCUUAGAUAUCACGAAGAACCCCGAUUGCGAAGGCAGCUUACUAAACUGUGACUGACAUUGAUGCUCGAAAGUGUGGGUAGCAAACAGGAUUAGAUACCCUUGUAGUC